GGAGGAGUGGCCGAGUGGCUUAAGGCGGCGGUCUUGAAAACCGUAGAGUGUAACAGCUCCGUGGGUUCAAAUCCUACCUCCUCCGCCA
rnacentral:tRNA from 1 species